AUUGAACGCUGGCGGCAGGCCUAACACAUGCAAGUCGAACGAGCGGCGGACGGGUGCGUAAUGUAUGGGGAACUGCCUGAUAGAGGGGGAUAACUACUGGAAACGGUGGCUAAUACCGCAUACUAUCGGAUGUACCCAUAUGGGAUUAGCUAGUAGGUGGGGUAAAGGCUCACCUAGGCGACGAUCUCUAGCUGGUCUGAGAGGAUGAUCAGCCAAACUGGAACUGAGACACGGCCCAGACUCCUACGGGAGGCAGCAGUGGGGAAUAUUGCACAAUGGGCGCAAGCCUGAUGCAGCCAUGCCGCGUGUAUGAAGAAGGCCUUAGGGUUGUAAAGUACUUUCAGCGGGGAGGCGUUACCCGCAGAAGAAGCACCGGCUAACUCCGUGCCAGCAGCCGCGGUAAUAC
rnacentral:rRNA from 1 species